rnacentral:misc_RNA from 1 species
AAGUCGUAACAAGGUUUCCGUAGGUGAACCUGCGGAAGGAUCAUUAAGGAAUUAUGGCUUCGCGGCCAAGUUCUCACCCUUUGUAUACCGAAGCCAUUGUUGCUUUGGCAGGCCCCUGCAUUUCUCGGGCCUGCCAGAGGCUUAAUAAACCCUAGAAUACUCUGCUGUCUGAUUAACUAUAACAAUAGUUAAAAA